rnacentral:rRNA from 1 species
UUCGCCCUUAGAGUUUGAUCAUGGCUCAGGAUGAACGCUGGCGGCGUGCCUAAUACAUGCAAGUCGAGCGAACGGACGAGAAGCUUGCUUCUCUGAUGUUAGCGGCGGACGGGUGAGUAACACGUGGAUAACCUACCUAUAAGACUGGGAUAACUUCGGGAAACCGGAGCUAAUACCGGAUAAUAUUUUGAACCGCAUGGUUCAAAAGUGAAAGACGGUCUUGCUGUCACUUAUAGAUGGAUCCGCGCUGCAUUAGCUAGUUGGUAAGGUAACGGCUUACCAAGGCAACGAUGCAUAGCCGACCUGAGAGGGUGAUCGGCCACACUGGAACUGAGACACGGUCCAGACUCCUACGGGAGGCAGCAGUAGGGAAUCUUCCGCAAUGGGCGAAAGCCUGACGGAGCAACGCCGCGUGAGUGAUGAAGGUCUUCGGAUCGUAAAACUCUGUUAUUAGGGAAGAACAUAUGUGUAAGUAACUGUGCACAUCUUGACGGUACCUAAUCAGAAAGCCACGGCUAACUACGUGCCAGCAGCCGCGGUAAUACGUAGGUGGCAAGCGUUAUCCGGAAUUAUUGGGCGUAAAGCGCGCGUAGGCGGUUUUUUAAGUCUGAUGUGAAAGCCCACGGCUCAACCGUGGAGGGUCAUUGGAAACUGGAAAACUUGAGUGCAGAAGAGGAAAGUGGAAUUCCAUGUGUAGCGGUGAAAUGCGCAGAGAUAUGGAGGAACACCAGUGGCGAAGGCGACUUUCUGGUCUGUAACUGACGCUGAUGUGCGAAAGCGUGGGGAUCAAACAGGAUUAGAUACCCUGGUAGUCCACGCCGUAAACGAUGAGUGCUAAGUGUUAGGGGGUUUCCGCCCCUUAGUGCUGCAGCUAACGCAUUAAGCACUCCGCCUGGGGAGUACGACCGCAAGGUUGAAACUCAAAGGAAUUGACGGGGACCCGCACAAGCGGUGGAGCAUGUGGUUUAAUUCGAAGCAACGCGAAGAACCUUACCAAAUCUUGACAUCCUUUGACAACUCUAGAGAUAGAGCCUUCCCCUUCGGGGGACAAAGUGACAGGUGGUGCAUGGUUGUCGUCAGCUCGUGUCGUGAGAUGUUGGGUUAAGUCCCGCAACGAGCGCAACCCUUAAGCUUAGUUGCCAUCAUUAAGUUGGGCACUCUAAGUUGACUGCCGGUGACAAACCGGAGGAAGGUGGGGAUGACGUCAAAUCAUCAUGCCCCUUAUGAUUUGGGCUACACACGUGCUACAAUGGACAAUACAAAGGGCAGCGAAACCGCGAGGUCAAGCAAAUCCCAUAAAGUUGUUCUCAGUUCGGAUUGUAGUCUGCAACUCAACUACAUGAAGCUGGAAUCGCUAGUAAUCGUAGAUCAGCAUGCUACGGUGAAUACGUUCCCGGGUCUUGUACACACCGCCCGUCACACCACGAGAGUUUGUAACACCCGAAGCCGGUGGAGUAACCUUUUAGGAGCUAGCCGUCGAAGGUGGGACAAAUGAUUGGGGUGAAGUCGUAACAAGGUAAC